rnacentral:rRNA from 2 species
GCUNGCUUUUAACUGAUUUAACAUUGAGACGAGUGGCGAACUGGUGAGUAACACGUGGGUAACCUGCCCUUGAAGUAGGGGAUAACACUUGGAAACAGGUGCUAAUACCGUAUAACAACCAAAACCACCUGGUUUUGGUUUAAAAGAUGGCUUCGGCUAUCACUUUAGGAUGGACCCGCGGCGUAUUAGCUUGUUGGUAAGGUAACGGCCUACCAAGGCAAUGAUACGUAGCCCGACCUGAGAGGGUAAUCGGCCACAUUGGGACUGAGACACGGCCCAAACUCCUACGGGAGGCAGCAGUAGGGAAUCUUCCACAAUGGACGAAAGUCUGAUGGAGCAACGCCGCGUGAGUGAUGAAGGGUUUCGGCUCGUAAAACUCUGUUGUUGGAGAAGAACAGGUGUGAGAGUAACUGUUCACAUCUUGACGGUAUCCAACCAGAAAGCCACGGUAACUACGUGCCAGCAGCGCGGUUUUU